ACUUUCAUUAUCUUAGUUAAUGCAAUCUCACUCUUUGUUUUCUGCAUUAACUUUAUCGAUUGGUCUUAGAGCUUCACCUGCUGAUUGCAUGCACUGAGUUCAGUGAAUGUAUUUUUCCUUUGUUACCUAUUUUGUAAGUCUGUUGUUCAUUUGCAGUUCCUCAAAACAAUGUCCUGAAUGCUCUCACAGUUCUGUAUGGCACUUUUGUUGGUGGAAUCGAUAUAUAGCGAAUCCUAUACAAGCACAUGGAAAUGCCGUUGGCAGAAGGCGAGCAAUGAUAUUACUAAAACACAAUUUUGAAAAACAUUUUGCUGAGACGCACAAAAAAGGGAAGAGCUGCUGAUCUUGCACUUCCACCUAGAAUUGUUACUUUGAGGCGGGAUACACUAGACAUUAGAGAAGAGGAUUAUUACACAUCAUUGUACAAUGAUAGCCAAUCUAACCUUGUGCGGUGUGCAUAUUGAUUGGCAUUUCACUUUCUUCUCUGGGCUUGUGGGACUUUGAGUAUCGCAUUGUAUGUCAACAAGUGAAUGUCACUUCUUUGGAGGAGGUGAUGAAGCACUUCAUGCAAACCUUAUAGGAGAAAGCAGAGUGGGCGCAAGAUUGGAAGUAUCUUUUCAUACAUAUCGGGGAUAAGCUUUGCUUCAGCAUCUUCAGUGCCAGAAGUGUAGUUGGCCCAAUAUGUUCCUGCCCUGGAAAGAAUUGCCACCCUGAGGUUGCUUAAGCAAGUGCUUUAAAGUGCUCAAGAUUAUUUAUUCUCUCAUUAUGUGUACUAUAAAUAAAAAUAUAUAUGUCAUUCUUGUGGAAAAUGCAGAUGAAUGUAUUUCAUUUUCAUAUUAUUAUAAUAUUUUGAUGUUAUUAAGUGCUUAA